rnacentral:rRNA from 1 species
AGAGUUUGAUCCUGGCUCAGGAUGAACGCUAGCGGCAGGCUUAACACAUGCAAGUCGAGGGGCAGCAUGGGAGGUGGCGACACCACCCGAUGGCGACCGGCGCACUGGUGAGUAACACGUAUGCAACCUGCCCCCUACAGGGGAAUAACCCAGAGAAAUUUGGCCUAAUACCCCGUAGUCAGCGAGAGGGCAUCCUCCUGCUGGGAAAGCUCCGGCGGUAGGGGAUGGGCAUGCGGCGCAUUAGCUUGUUGGCGGGGCGACGGCCCACCAAGGCGACGAUGCGUAGGGGUUCUGAGAGGAAGGUCCCCCACACUGGUACUGAGACACGGACCAGACUCCUACGGGAGGCAGCAGUGAGGAAUAUUGGUCAAUGGGCGCAGGCCUGAACCAGCCAAGUCGCGUGCGGGAAGACGGCCCUACGGGUUGUAAACCGCUUUAGCCGGGGAGUAACGUGCGGCACGCGUGCCGUAUUGAGAGUACCCGGAGAAUAAGCAUCGGCUAACUCCGUGCCAGCAGCCGCGGUAAUACGGAGGAUGCGAGCGUUAUCCGGAUUCAUUGGGUUUAAAGGGUGCGCAGGCGGCGCUCCAAGUCAGCGGUCAAAGUUCCGGGCUCAACCCGGUGCCGCCGUUGAAACUGGAGUGCUUGAGCAGGUGCGACGGAGGCGGAAUGCGUGGUGUAGCGGUGAAAUGCAUAGAUAUCACGCAGAACCCCGAUUGCGAAGGCAGCUUCCGAGCACCCGUCUGACGCUGAGGCACGAAAGCGUGGGUAUCGAACAGGAUUAGAUACCCUGGUAGUCCACGCGGUAAACAAUGAAUACUGGUUAUCCGGUCCGUUUUUGGUCUGGGUGACUCAAGCGAAAGCAUUAAGUAUUCCACCUGGGGAGUACGCCGGCAACGGUGAAACUCAAAGGAAUUGACGGGGGCCCGCACAAGCGGAGGAACAUGUGGUUUAAUUCGAUGAUACACGAGGAACCUUACCCGGGCUCAAACGCGCAGAGACAGUCGCGGAAACGCGAUCUCCCCUCGGGGCCCUGUGCGAGGUGCUGCAUGGUUGUCGUCAGCUCGUGCCGUGAGGUGUCGGCUUAAGUGCCAUAACGAGCGCAACCCCCAUCUCCAGUUGCCACCGCGUCAUGGCGGGCACUCUGGAGAGACUGCCGGCGCAAGCUGUGAGGAAGGCGGGGAUGACGUCAAAUCAGCACGGCCCUUACGUCCGGGGCGACACACGUGUUACAAUGGCGGGGCACAGAAGGAAGCCAGGCUGCGAGGCCGAGCUGAUCCCGAAAACCCGUCUCAGUUCGGAUCGGAGUCUGCAACCCGACUCCGUGAAGCUGGAUUCGCUAGUAAUCGCGCAUCAGCCAUGGCGCGGUGAAUACGUUCCCGGGCCUUGUACACACCGCCCGUCAAGCCAUGGAAGCCUGGAGUGCCUGAAGUGCGUGACCGCGAGGAGCGCCCAAGGGUAAGACAGGUGACUGGGGCUAAGUCGUAACAAGGUAGCCGUACCGGAAGGUGCGGCUGGAACACCUCCUU